AAGUGUGCGGUGAUGAGGCAAUUUUGUGGACUAGAGUUUAUGAUCUGGGUUCUUCUCCCAAAAGUUUGAUUACAAACCCUUGGCUGUCUGAGCACACCUUCUUCUUUUCCCAAUCCAAUUUCGAAUUUAAAAAAUUGCUUUUCAAAGAUUACCCAUCUCAUCUUUUUGGAUUUUAUCAAUAACCCAUAAAUUUGUUUUGUCUAAUCCUGCAAAAAAAUUAGGGUUUUUGGUAUGAUUUGUUUUGUCUAAUCCUGCAAAGUUAGGGUUUUUCGUUAAAUUGGGGCUUAUGAUGAUAACAUACAAUUAUCUUAGCGGAUUUCAGUGAGCCCUCUUGGUCAAUGAUCUGAUUGUUACACACACUGAGGCUCAAAUUCAAUUUUUUUGUUUUUUUUUUAUUCAUAUAAUUUUUUUUUAUUUUAGAUUAAUUAAUUUUGGAAAUUGUGAAUGUUUUGAUUGAUGGGUUGUGGUUGCAAUGAUGAGAUUAAACACUUGGACGUGUUUUGGGCAGUGGACGAGGCCUCUUUUGGGGUUCUUGCCGUGAGCUCAUCUAACAAAACGACUUCUCCUUCCACUGAGCUCCCACUCCCCCACAUUAUUUUUGAAUUUAUAUUAAAUAUUUUUGUUAAUUUUUGGAUGAAAUUGUAAGAAAGAUUUGAAACUUGCGUCCAUUACCAAUUCUAGAGGAUUAUUUGGUUCCUCCUGAUGUAAUGGCUCGGACGCCAAAUUCAUUAUUGUGGCUAUUCUGAUCAGUGGAUUCGCAAUGCCAUUGGAUCCGGGAAACUCCACAUACAUUC
rnacentral:sRNA from 1 species